rnacentral:rRNA from 1 species
UACGUAGGGAGCAAGCGUUGUUCGGAUUUACUGGGCGUAAAGGGCGCGUAGGCGGCGCGGUAAGUCACUUGUGAAAUCUCUGAGCUUAACUCAGAACGGCCAAGUGAUACUGCAGUGCUGGAGUGCAGAAGGGGCAAUCGGAAUUCUUGGUGUAGCGGUGAAAUGCGUAGAUAUCAAGAGGAACACCUGAGGUGAAGACGGGUUGCUAGGCUGACACUGACGCUGAGGCGCGAAAGCCAGGGGAGCAAACGGG